rnacentral:ncRNA from 1 species
GGAACUUGGUUUUGAUUUUGAAUAUAUAGUGUAAAUAAAAAUUAAUACAUGGUAUAUAUUUAGCUUGGUGAGGAAUAAGAAUAAGCUAUAUAAUUAUUUUGUAUAAUAUAAGAUGAGUUAUAUUGAUUCUAAAUAUUAUAGAAGUAAAUGAUGUUUGAAAUUGUCACUAACACCAGUAUGUAAUUUUGGUUAAUGGAUGAAAGUUUGAACCAGAUUAGUUUUAAUAGGGUUGGUAAAUUUAGUGCCAGCAUCCGCGGUUAAACUAAAAACUCUAAUUAUAUAAUUAAUGGCAGAAUAGGUUGAUAGAUUUUGUUAGAAGGAUAUUUUAAGGAUUAUUAUUUAGAUGUAAAAUGUGUAAAUAAUGUAAUUUAUUUUAAUUAAAAUAAACUGGAGUUGUAUUAACGAUAUCUUAAUAUAAAACUAGGAUUAGAUACCCUAUUAUUUUUGAUGUAAAUUAGUAUUAGUUAAAUAAUGCUUGCCUGAGUACUACGAAUAAGUUAGAAAUUUAAAACUCAAAAAACUUGGCGGUAUCUUAGACCACUUAGGGGAACCUGCUUCAUAAUCGAUAGUCCACGUUUUACCUGAUCUUAUUUCGUAAAGUAUGUAUACCGUCGUCGCCAGGUAACUUUUAAGAAUUAAAUAGUUAGCAAUAUAGAAAUCAAUUUUAUUAGGACGUCAGAUCAAGGUGCAGCUUAUAAUAAGGUGAGAGUGGGUUACAAUUAAUAAUUUAUAAUACGGAAUAAUGAAUGAAAUUUUAAAAGGAAGGAGGACUUAAAAGUAAAAGUUAAUAAGAAUAUGGUUUUGAAUAAGGCUCUGAGAUGUGCACACAUCGCCCGUCGCUCUCGUUGAAAAAUGAGAUAAGUCGUAACAUAGUAAGGGUAACGGAAGUUGUCCUUAG